CAUCUUUAUGAUGGAUAUUAAUGGAAUUUAAAGUAGUGGACUGAACUCUGUUGAUGAUGCAGCAAUUCUGAGUGAUG